CCGGAAAGAGGCAAGUGCUGCCGCUGCCGCGUUCGUUCUCCCUCCCUCCUUCCUUCCCUCCUUCCCUCCCUCUCUCCUUCUCCGCUCCUUCUCACUCCGGAGUUCCCGCAGGGGUGUCGGGAGUGGAGAUGCAGUCGCGGCAGCCGCAGCUCCCGAGCUCUGGCCGGGGAAUCCCGGAGAGUCGGGGAGGAGCCGCAGUCCCCGCCGCCGCCGCCGCCGCAGUCGCCGCCAGACAGACUGAAAGUCCCUGGGAAAGUGAAAGGGGGAGGGGGAGGGAGGCCCAAGUUUAAGGUCUCCGACUCUUAAAGAGACAAGACACUUCAGUCUCGGUGCGUCCCCAGCGGUCAGCCCCGGCCCUCGGGCCCUCCCACGUCUCUUCUCUGGGUUUGCACGCCCCGAGGGCAUCUCUCCCAGCGUACCAGCUCCCGGGUCUCAGGCCCGGAAGGCUGCAGCUCCAGCUUGGCCCCCUCCAGACUGUCUGGCCCGGGUUAAGCCUGUCUGCAGCCCUUCCCUCUGCACUCCCCUGUCUCCGUCUCCCCAGCGAUCCUCGGUCCUUAAGAGGGAGGGGGCGGCUGCAGAAGAAUAAUCUGCAUUUACAACAUCAAGCUGCCAUCUUCCAUUUGGGCCAAUUUCAAGAACAAGCACCAGUUUUCAUGUAAUUUGUAAGUGAGGGUGCCUGAGGGAAAAGACAAGAGAGGACGAGGCAGAAAUUAAUUGAACAUCCCAAGUGACUGAUACCCCCGGAAAGGAUGCUGGCUACCGGAUUCAUUAGAACUACAUUUUAGAAAGGGAAACAAUCUCAGCAGGACAACUUCCGUGGCUUCCAGAUUCACCAUGGCCUCGAUUCUCUGGCUGGACGGCUGAAGUCACUGUGUGUCCAAUACUUGCUCUUUGUCUUUGGGCUGACUCCUGGUACCAUCUGCUCACAGGAUCUGGUGGGAAUCAUAUGCUACCAAAAGUUGGAAUCUGGAGAGAGAUGGACUCUGACAAGCUAAAAUGGAAGUAACUUGACAGCUUCAAUCCCUACAGUUGACUCUUGUAAGGACAAGUUAAGAGUGGGAGCACAAACGUGUCUGGGAUAGCAGUAUGCAGGAAGCUGGUUUUCAGGCCACAAACGCUUUAACAGGUGAGGUUCCCGGACAAUGAGUAAGUUGCAAGUUUUGGUGAACUUUUGGUUAAGUACAACUGAAAUAGCACAAAAAUGACUGUCCCGGCACGCAUUUGGAUCCAGGAACUUUAGGAGAUAUGUGAAGGUGAGAUGUAUAAGCAAAUAGGGUGACAUUUUUUCCCCACAAAAGUGAUACUAUACUUUUGUUGUUCUUCCCCCCCUCCCCUGACAGCUUGAGGAAGGGCCCUUCAUUUUAUAAUUCUGUAUAAAAUAUUCUGAAGUACAUAUUGCAGAAAUGUGCUUCCCCAUUCUGUAUAAGGAAUAUAUUUUCAGAAAAAGACAGAGUCAGGGUUUGGGUGGAUAUUUUCCUUCAGAGAGCAAAAUCUCCCUUCCCCCAAAUUAAUUGCUGGCAAGUAAUAUUUCCUUCUCAUCUUUUUUAUCCUUAGUUUAUUUCCUUAGUUUUAUUAGUGAGUAAAUGGGGGGAAAUUGGCCACUCCAGCCUUUCAUUUAUAAUCAUUCUUGUAUAAAUGAGAUCAUUGUUAAACUGCACAUCACAAUUUUAUUUUAAUUCAGCCCACUUUAAUUCUACCCUGGAUACCAGUUUUCACAUUUUGUAGUUACCAUUUGUUCUGUCCAGUGCCCAGAGCAAUGGACUGAGAGACACAGGAGCUUUUGAAUUCAGACCCUGGCUUGGUUUCUGGUUCCCUGAAUAUCUCAGAAAUGUUGCUUAAUUAUUCUCAUUUCUAACCCCUCAUUUAUUGAUGCAUCCCAGAGAGAUCUGAAGUGAAGAACUGCUAAUAUAAUAAUAGUAAGAAAUAAAAAAUAAAAAGAAAAGUUUUGGUUCCA
ensembl:lncRNA